rnacentral:rRNA from 1 species
AUUGAACGCUGGCGGCAGGCCUAACACAUGCAAGUCGAACGAGUGGCGGACGGGUGAGUAAUGUCUGGGAAACUGCCUGAUGGAGGGGGAUCACUACUGGAAACGGUAGCUAAUACCGCAUACCAUCGGAUGUGCCCCGAUGGGAUUAGCUAGUAGGUGGGGUAAAGGCUCACCUCGGCGACGAUCCCUAGCUGGUCUGAGAGGAUGACCAGCCACACUGAAACUGAGACACGGUCCAGACUCCUACGGGAGGCAGCAGUGGGUAAGAUUGCACAAUGGGCGCAAGCCUGAUGCAGCCAUGCCGCGUGUAUGAAGAAGGCCUUCGGGUUGUAAAGUACUUUCAGCGGGGAGGCGUUACCCGCAGAAGAAGCACCGGCUAACUCCGUGCCAGCAGCCGCGGUAAUAC